GUUAAUAGCCAUCACUCGUUACUCUCGUUCCAUCCUCUCUGCAGCAAACAAAACAAUCUAAACCCUCAACCCAAAAUAUGAUUUUAGAUUCUGAAAUUGCCGAAGAAUUCUCACAUCAUAAAUCUGGAAUAGCAAGAAUCAAUAAUGGAAGUUUUGGAAGUUGCCCAUUAUCAAUUCUUGCAAUUCAACAACAAUGGCAGCUGAAAUUUCUUUCUCAACCAGAUAAUUUCUACUUCAAUCAUCUCAAACAAGGGAUUUUCGAAUCAAGAAAACUAAUUAAAGAAUCUGUUAAUGCUGAUCAUGUGGAAGAGAUAUCAAUUGUUGAUAAUGCAACUACUGCUGUUGCUAUUGUUCUUCGACAAAUUUGUUGGGCAUUUAAUGAAGGCAAAUUCCAGAAAGGUGACGCAGUUGUUAUGCUUCAUUAUGCAUAUGGAGCUGUUAAGAAGUCGAUACAUGCGUACGUUGAGACGGCCGGCGGGUACGUUAUUGAAGCAAUGUUACCAUUUCCUGUCAAGUCUAAUGAUGAAAUUGUAAGUGAAUUUAGAAAAGCUUUGAAAAUUGCGAAAUGUGAUGGUAGACAAAUUAGAUUAGCUGUAAUUGAUCAUAUUACUUCUAUGCCUAGUGUAGUUAUUCCUAUCAAGGAGUUGGUGAAAAUAUGUAGGGAAGAAAAUGUUGAGCAAAUCUUUGUAGAUGGUGCACAUGCAAUUGGUUGUGUUGAUGUUGACAUGAAAGAAAUUGGUGCUGAUUUUUAUACUAGCAAUUUGCAUAAAUGGUUGUUUUGUCCGCCUUCUGUCGCGUUUUUGUAUUGUCGGAAAGGUAGUCGGGCAGAGUUGCAUCAUCCGGUUGUUUCUAGUGAGUAUGGUAAUGGUUUGGCUAUUGAAAGUGGUUGGAUUGGGAAUAGAGAUUACAGUUCACAACUUGUGGUUCCUUCAGUAUUAGAAUUUGUUAAUAGAUUUGAAGGUGGUAUUGAAGGAAUUAAGAAACGGAAUCAUGAUGCUGUCGUUGAGAUGGGUCGGAUGUUAGCAAAGGCGUGGGGAACGCAUCUUGGGUCGCCCCCGGAUAUGUGUUCGAGUAUGGCUAUGGUUGGGCUGCCUGCUAGCUUGGGGAUUUGGAAUGAGGAUGAUGCUUUGAAGUUGAGGACACAUUUGCGUGAGAGGUUCCACGUUGAAGUCCCAAUACACUGUGAGGAAGUUAAACAGGGUGAGAUUGGAAAUCAGAAUCAGGAUGGUAGUCUAGUAACAGGAUAUGCCAGGAUUUCUCAUCAAGUCUACAACAAUGUUGAUGAUUAUGAAAAAUUUAGGGACGCCAUUAUCCAGUUGGUUCGAGAUGGAUUUACAUGCAAUAUGCUUUACCCGGGCUGAUAAGGUAGCCAAGACUUUCACAAUUGAAAAAACAUAUAGUCAAAGCCGAUGCAUUGUUUUUCCCUGAACUGUAUAAGAGAAUGACGCGAAUAAAAGCGUAUGUCAAGAUGCAGUAACAGAACUACGUUGCUUCAAUGCUGGGUAUUCCGGUCACCUCUUGACAGCAGAAUUCCAAAAAUUGUGGUCUUAAGGGUUUCAGUGGUUCUGAAAGGCCCUCCUGAAUCUUUAUACAAGGUCAUGUAGUAAUUGAUUUUUAUCAUUACCAUUCUAAAGUUUGUAAUGUAUUCUGUCAUUGUCGCUGGAUUUAAAACCACUGAAAAUGGCAUUGUACUUUUGAUAUUAAAAGGUGUAACACUAUAAUUUCAUUUAAAAUUAGCUUA